UUUAGUCAGAUCUAUGUUGGGAAUCAAGAGCAAAGAGCCCAGCAGAGUGAUUUAAAACACUGAGAGUUUGGUCAGAGAGGAAGCUCCAAUAGAGCUGUGGUCUGCCAAGAUAAUGCAGAGGAGCUCUUGCUUGCUGAGAAGGAACAGGGGAAUAGAAAAGAUGGCCUAUGGGCAUCACAGGAAGCAGCAGGAUUCCAUUAUUUCCAUCCUCAGGGUUGUAAAAGUCAAAGAGCUUGAUUUGAGAAGAAAGCCCCAGAGCGCCAGGUUCCAGGAUGGUGGUGGCCCCACCAUUGCUCCAGAAUGGCAGCAGCCUAGAGGUCUUGUUCCUCAGAAUUGGAUUCAGAGUGCUGAGCAAUCCAGGCACUCAGCCCCGACAGCUAAGAGAGAGGGGAGACUGGCUGCUACUGCUCCAGCUGGUAGCAGACCUUGGCUUCAUCUACAUGGUGCUGGUUUUAGACGCAUGCUGAAUGGAAGAGGUGUGGGAUCAGGAAGGCUUCCACCCAGAUUUCAGAAGGAGGCCUAGGAGGCCAGGCAGUGCACCCCUGAGAGCAGUGUGUGAACUGUGAUUGUGAAACCAGAGGUAUAGUGAAGACCCCAGAAGUUUGGAGAAGCCAGGAGCAUGGAUCACCUGAGGAAGGCUGCAAAGAGGGAGCAGAACUGGCCCAAGAGAGAAGCCAUGGGAGCUGCAACCACCAGAGGGGCCUGCAGCUAAGAGUUAACCUUAUAUCUCAGAGGAGACUUUGCGCUUGGACUUUUCAGCAUUGCUAAAACUAUUAGGACUUUUGGGACUCAAAAUUCUGCAAAGUAACGCCGAAUAAGAAAGCUCUGCCACGACUAUGGAAACAUUAAACUACAUCUCAACACAAGGCACAGGAUGGGCCUGAGUUGGCUGGGGUAGACUGAACUCACUGCAAAGCCUCGGGCCUGCGCGAGGUCCUGUAAUGGGUAACGUGAUGUGCCGACUUGGCUGGGCCGUGUGGCACCCAGCUGUUUGGCUGGACCCCAGUCUAGUUACUGCUGUGAGGUCAUUGUUUUCAGAUGUGCCUAACAUGUAAAU